UACGUAGGGGGCGAGCGUUGUCCGGAAUCAUUGGGCGUAAAGAGCGUGUAGGCGGCUUGGCAAGUCUGACGUGAAAGCCCGCGGCUCAACCGCGGAUUGUCGUUGGAAACUGCCUCGCUAGAGUCCGGAAGAGGAGAGCGGAAUUCCUGGUGUAGCGGUGGAAUGCGCAGAUAUCAGGAAGAACACCCGUGGCGAAGGCGGCUCUCUGGGACGGUACUGACGCUGAGACGCGAAAGCGUGGGUAGCAAACGGG
rnacentral:rRNA from 1 species